rnacentral:rRNA from 1 species
CCUACGGGGGGCUGCAGUGGGGAAUUUUGGACAAUGGGCGCAAGCCUGAUCCAGCCAUGCCGCGUGCGGGAAGAAGGCCUUCGGGUUGUAAACCGCUUUUGUCAGGGAAGAAAAGCUCUGGGCUAAUACCCCGGGGUCAUGACGGUACCUGAAGAAUAAGCACCGGCUAACUACGUGCCAGCAGCCGCGGUAAUACGUAGGGUGCAAGCGUUAAUCGGAAUUACUGGGCGUAAAGCGUGCGCAGGCGGUGAUGCAAGACAGAUGUGAAAUCCCCGGGCUCAACCUGGGAACUGCAUUUGUGACUGCAUCGCUGGAGUGCGGCAGAGGGGGAUGGAAUUCCGCGUGUAGCAGUGAAAUGCGUAGAUAUGCGGAGGAACACCGAUGGCGAAGGCAAUCCCCUGGGCCUGCACUGACGCUCAUGCACGAAAGCGUGGGGAGCAAACAGGAUUAGAUACCCCAGUAGUC